rnacentral:rRNA from 1 species
GGGGGCCCCGCACAAGCGGCGGAGCAUGCGGAUUAAUUCGAUGCAACGCGAAGAACCUUACCUGGGUUUGACAUAUAGGGAAAUCUCCCAGAGAUGGGGGGUCCGUAAGGGUCCUAUACAGGUGGUGCAUGGCUGUCGUCAGCUCGUGUCGUGAGAUGUUGGGUUAAGUCCCGCAACGAGCGCAACCCUCGUCCUAUGUCGCCAGCACGUUAUGGUGGGGACUCAUAGGAGACUGCCGGGGUCAACUCGGAGGAAGGUGGGGAUGACGUCAAGUCAUCAUGCCCCUUAUGUCCAGGGCUUCACGCAUGCUACAAUGGCCGGUACAAAGGGCUGCGAAGCUGUAAGGUGGAGCGAAUCCCAAAAAGCCGGUCUCAGUUCGGAUUGGGGUCUGCAACUCGACCCCAUGAAGUCGGAGUCGCUAGUAAUCGCAGAUCAGCAACGCUGCGGUGAAUACGUUCCCGGGCCUUGUACACACCGCCCGUCACGUCAUGAAAGUCGGCAACACCCGAAGCCGGUGGCCUAACCCUUGUGGAGGGAGCCGUCGAAGGUGGGGC